AUGCUCGCUUCGGCAGCACAUAUACUAAAAUUGAAAUGAUACAGAGAAGAUUAGCAUGGCCCCUGCAUAAGGAUGACAUGCAAAUUCAUGAAGCGUUCCAUAUUUUU
ensembl:snRNA U6 U6 spliceosomal RNA